GAUGAACGCUGGCGGCGUGCUUAAUACAUGCAAGUCGAGCGGAAAGACGCAAAGUUUGCUCGUUUGACGAUUGCGGAGGGCGGGUGAGUCACACGUGGAUACCGUCCCUAUCUGCCUGGGAUGACUUCGGGACACCGGCUCUUAUCGGGUAUGAUGUAGUUAACCACGUGGUUCUGUAGUGAAAGUCGGGUUUGGUGUCACUUCUCGGUGGAUCCGCGCGGCAUGAGCUAGUUGGUCAGGUAACGGCUUACCGAGGCAACGAGGCGUAACCGACCUUAGAGGGGGAGCGGCCACAAGGGAAUGGAGGCACGGUCCAGACUCGUAAGGGAGGCAGCAGUAGGGAAGCGGGCGCAAUGGGCGAAUGCCUGACGGAGCAACGCCGCGUGAGUGAGGAAGGUCGUGGGAGCGUAAACGGCUGUUAGUAGGGAAGAACAAAUGUGUAAGUACCUAUGGACGUCUUGACGGUACCUAAUGAGAAAGCCACGGCUAACUACGUG
rnacentral:rRNA from 1 species